GAUGAAGAACGCAGCGAAAUGCGAUAAGUGAUGUGAAUUGCAGAAUUCAGUGAAUCAUCGAAUCUUUGAACGCACAUUGCGCCCCUUGGUAUUCCGAGGGGCAUGCCUGUUCGAGCGUCAUUAUAACCCCUCAAGCUCAGCUUGGUGUUGGGGCCUGCCGCACGGGCAGCCCUUAAAAUCAGUGGCGGUGCCAUCUGGCUCUAAGCGUAGUAAUUCUUCUCGCUAUAGAGUCCCGGUGGAUGCUUGCCAUUAACCCCCAAUUUUCUAUGGUUGACCUCGGAUCAGGUAGGGAUACCCGCUGAACUUAAGCAUAUCAAUAAGCGGAGGA
rnacentral:misc_RNA from 1 species